rnacentral:rRNA from 1 species
UACGUAGGGUGCAAGCGUUAUCCGGAAUUAUUGGGCGUAAAGAGCUCGUAGGCGGUUUGUCGCGUCUGCUGUGAAAACCCGAGGCUCAACCUCGGGCCUGCAGUGGGUACGGGCAGACUAGAGUGCGGUAGGGGAGAUUGGAAUUCCUGGUGUAGCGGUGGAAUGCGCAGAUAUCAGGAGGAACACCGAUGGCGAAGGCAGAUCUCUGGGCCGUAACUGACGCUGAGGCACGAAAGCGUGGGUAGCAAACAGG